AGCAUUAAUGAAUAUUAAUGAAGUUGCUCAAUAGAGCGUGCUGAUUGGUUUGAACCAAGCCUUACUCAUGCAUUAAUGCAGCACACUCUGAGACGUAAUACGGUACUCCCAGGUACAGACGUUCAGUCUACAUGCUGUAAUACAAGCUAAGAUUUCAUGGCCGUGACGCAGCUUCAAAAAUUAGUUUCAAACCGGAAGUACGAAUUUGCUCAAAAUAACGCAAAAAACAACCAAUUUACACUUUUUAGUGAAAUAUAGGUGUCCUAAUAGUGUUUUUAGUAGUGUGGGACACAUAUACGACUGUCAACAGCUCAAAACAUGUGUUUUGGUGUUUCGUGACCCUUUAAAUAUAAAAUGUCAUUUUGUGGUUGAACAAUCAAUCCGAAUAUAUACACACACAUUAAUAUUAAGCUAGGAAAGCUGUAAGGUGUUUUACUAAUUAAAUGAAUUUGACAUUGAAUGGAUUUUUGUGCCUUUUACAUUUGAUUCACUGUUUUUUAUGUAUGUAUUUAUUAGUUCGGUAAGUGGACAAAUGGUUGUUGUUGCUUGUUAUGUUCUUUAAGGCAAUAAACUUGACCUACUUUG
rnacentral:lncRNA from 1 species